rnacentral:ncRNA from 18 species
AAGAAUUGAAUGUAGCAAGGUGCCUGUAUCUACAGGAGAAUAGGAAAGUUAAGUGAAAAUCUUGCACGGUCACGCCGCUGUAAGGGAAGAGCUGUGUCUUACCAUGUCACUGGAAAAUUCCGGGAAGACAAGAUACCGCAUAGACGCCCGAGUCAGAAGACCUGCCUUGUACAGGAAAUUUACA